UACAGGGGGGGCAAGCGUUGUUCGGAAUUACUGGGCGUAAAGGGUCUGUAGGUGGCCAACUAAGUCAGACGUGAAAUCCCUCAGCUUAACUGGGGAACUGCGUCUGAUACUGGAUGGCUUGAGUGCAGGAGAGGAACGCGGAAUUCCAGGUGUAGCGGUGAAAUGCGUAGAUAUCUGGAGGAACACCGGUGGCGAAGGCGGCCUGCUGGGCAGUUGCUGACACUGAGGCGCGACAGCGUGGGGAGCAAACAGG
rnacentral:rRNA from 1 species